ACCCACCAAUCCAAAACGUGGAAGUAAGAAUGGCUAUUAACAAAAGAGAAAAUAUAUAUUAAAUAAAAUUUCCCCAUCCCAAUUGAGAAAACUGCAAACAGUGAAGAUAUCAAACACGGAUGAGUUUCCUUGGAUUCCUAGAAUUACUUUAUUUUGAAGGAUUUAACAGUAGCACAGAUCUACAUUUGAUCUGGAGCAGUUCCAGCAGCGCUUGUAUAUGUAUGCUACCAAGAUGUCUGAGUACACCUACCCUCUCUACAGAGCAAGAUGUUUUUGCAGUGAUUGAUUACAACAUGCAUUUGAACCGGCAAACUGCACAAUCAGCAAAAUCGGUUAAUAUACCGUAGAAUAUACCAUAGGGAAUCUGGAAGAUGGACUUUGGUACCUAAGAAAGAAGAAAAGCAGUAUGUUUAUAUUGAUGACAUAAUGGAGGAAAUAUUUCAGCGCUGUUUGGAAGCAUAGAAAGAGAUCACAGUCGAGCAGAACGCUUCAAAAAUGCAAAAUAAUGUGUGCUAAUUCAUUCAUUACAUCAUCUAAUGCCUCCAGACUUCUGCCUAUUGUAAUUGCUAACAAUAGUGCUUGGCUCUGUAGGAGGAUAUAGUUAACACUUAUUCUGGGUGCAAGGGGAAGAGGAGGUGAUACUCUGUAUUAAUAAAAACAAAAGAAAUCAGAAAUACUGGCGUUUU
rnacentral:lncRNA from 1 species